UGGUGGAGUGAUUUGUCUGCUUAAUUGCGAUAACGAACGAGACCUUAACCUGCUAAAUAGUCCGUAUUACCCCGGUAGUACGCCGACUUCUUAGAGGGACUAUCGGCUCAAGCCGAUGGAAGUUUGAGGCAAUAACA
rnacentral:rRNA from 1 species